GGUUUGAUGGCGUAGUUGGUUAUCGCAUCUGUCUAACAUUCAACGGUGUCUUUAAGCGGUUAUUUCACAAAAUGUCCCCAGUUCGAGCCUAGUCGUAUUAAUUU